rnacentral:rRNA from 1 species
CGCUAGCGACAGGCCUAACACAUGCAAGUCGAGGGGCAGCACAAGGAGCAAUCUGAGGUGGCGACCGGCGCACGGGUGAGUAACACGUAUGCAACCUGCCUGUAAGCGGGGAAUAACCCGUUGAAAGACGGACUAAUACCGCAUAAUACUAAAUUACUGCAUGGUAAUUUAUUUAAACAUUUAUGGCUUACAGAUGGGCAUGCGCAUGAUUAGCUAGUUGGAGAGGUAACGGCUCCCCAAGGCAACGAUCAUUAGGGGUUCUGAGAGGAAGGUCCCCCACACUGGUACUGAGACACGGACCAGACUCCUACGGGAGGCAGCAGUGAGGAAUAUUGGUCAAUGGACGAGAGUCUGAACCAGCCAAGUCGCGUGCAGGAAGAAUGUCCCUAUGGAUUGUAAACUGCUUUUGCAGGGGAAUAAAGUGCAUCACGUGUGAUGUUUUGUAUGUACUCUGCGAAUAAGGAUCGGCUAACUCCGUGCCAGCCGCGGC